GGGGAAUAUUGCACAAUGGGGGAAACCCUGAUGCAGCCAUGCCGCGUGUGUGAAGAAGGCCUUCGGGUUGUAAAGCACUUUCAGUGGGGAGGAAGGGGUGAUGCCUAAUACGCAUCAUCAUUGACGUUACCCACAGAAGAAGCACCGGCUAACUCCGUGCCAGCAGCCGCGGUAAUACGGAGGGUGCAAGCGUUAAUCGGAAUAACUGGGCGUAAAGCGCACGCAGGCGGUUAGAUAAGUCAGAUGUGAAAUCCCCGGGCUCAACCUGGGAACUGCAUUUGAAACUGUCUGACUAGAGUCUUGUAGAGGGGGGUAGAAUUCCAGGUGUAGCGGUGAAAUGCGUAGAGAUCUGGAGGAAUACCGGUGGCGAAGGCGGCCCCCUGGACAAAGACUGACGCUCAGGUGCGAAAGCGUGGGGAGCAAAC
rnacentral:rRNA from 1 species